CCUCCGCGGGUGAGGCCUCACAGAGCAGCCCGGCCCACCGCCUCUCGGGCAGCCUGUCUCUAUAGUGGGAACUCCAGCCCCUCCACGCCUUCAUCGGACAACGAGGCUUUCCUCUGCGUCUUGACUGAGCGUGUCUCCUUCCACUGUCCCGAGUGUCACGGGGCAGGCGGACACUUGAGGUAGAACUGGCUCCGGAGGGUCGUAACGAAACCAGAAACUGACUGCUGAGGCUGCCAAUUAGCCUUUGUCAGCCCUGGUCUCAGCCUCUGCAUGCGCGUGCAGGACUGGAGGGCAGGCCCUGUUUCGUGUGCACUGCUUGUCCUCACGUGGAGAUGCACCAUCACCGAAGGAAGAGCGGUAGAUGGACCCUGAUGAGCUGCUGACGAACUUCCUGUUGUCCCUUUUCAGCUCUUCACCAAGGUAUCAGUGGUUCUGAAAUGCUUCCCAGCAUAACGUUGGCGAUCUGUGUCGGGUUCAUUUACAGGCGUCUUAAGAAGCUUGUUUACUCGGUUGCUUGGGUCUUAAUUGCGGCACUUGAGACCCUUCCUCGCAGUGCAAGGACCGUCUGGCUGUGGUGCUCAAGGGCUGAUUCCUAACUUCUAACUGAAUACAGGCCCUGGGAUGCAGACAGCAGGACAGAUGCUGAGGCGUCACGUGUGUGUGCACCCUUCCUCUGGAAGCCAGCUAAUAAUUUCUCAUUAGCAAGAACAAGUGAGGAAGACUGCGGUUCCACCGGAAACCUAUUCACUGUGAUACCUGAGGUCCAUCCUCCCCGCUCAGAGUGAGGCCGGAGACCACACCGCGUGCCUUCCCGCCCCAGCCCAGAUAGGUGACCUGGACACAGCCUAGACUCUGCGUGACCGUGGAGGGAGGAGGGAUCCAUCUGCCCCUGAGAACACAGGCCACGGGUGGGGGAAGUGUGCUUCUCCCAGCUGCAGCCGUGGAGACGACAGCCUCCACGACAGCCUCAUUGUUUCCUUGCCAAAUGUGAUGUGACCAGUUGGGAGGAAC